UUUAAAGAAGAUAUCAGUAAACUCUUCAAAGAUAAAACAAAGAAAUUUCUGCUUGGUGAUGAAGACCAUUCAAAUGAGUUCUUUGAUGUGUACACUGUGAGUUCUGAAGAAUUCAAGAGAAUUGCACAGGGGAAGUCAACUGUUCUGGAUCGCAAUGAAACUGAAUUGCCAGCACUGAUGGAGCACAUUAAGAAACUGUACGUCUCCCAUUUCGAGAAGAAAGUGAAAGAUUAUGUAUCCGAGGUUUCUGGAGUCAUUUCAUAUCUUCACUUUUCAAA